GGAGGGGGAUAACUACUGGAAACGGUAGCUAAUACCGCAUAACGUCGCAAGACCAAAGAGGGGGACCUUCGGGCCUCUUGCCAUCGGAUGUGCCCAGAUGGGAUUAGCUAGUAGGUGGGGUAAAGGCUCACCUAGGCGACGAUCCCUAGCUGGUCUGAGAGGAUGACCAGCCACACUGGAACUGAGACACGGUCCAGACUCCUACGGGAGGCAGCAGUGGGGAAUAUUGCACAAUGGGCGCAAGCCUGAUGCAGCCAUGCCGCGUGUAUGAAGAAGGCCUUCGGGUUGUAAAGUACUUUCAGCGGGGAGGAAGGGAGUAAAGUUAAUACCUUUGCUCAUUGACGUUACCCGCAGAAGAAGCACCGGCUAACUCCGUGCCAGCAGCCGCGGUAAUACGGAGGGUGCAAGCGUUAAUCGGAAUUACUGGGCGUAAAGCGCACGCAGGCGGUUUGUUAAGUCAGAUGUGAA
rnacentral:rRNA from 1 species